rnacentral:rRNA from 1 species
AACGAACGCUGGUGGCGUGUUUUAUACAUGCAAGUCGAGCGAGGACGGUAGCAAUACCGAGCCGAGCGGCGAACGGGUGAGUAACGCGUAAGCAAUCUGCCCCACAAUCGGGAACAACCGUGCCAACGCGCGGCUAAUGCCGGAUAUUGUAGUCUACUGCAUAGUAGGCCAACGAAAGAUUUAUUGUUGUGGGAUGAGCUUGCGUCCGAUUAGCUAGUUGGCGGGGUAAUAGCCCACCAAGGCGACGAUCGGUAGCCGGCCUGAGAGGGUGAUCGGCCACAUUGGGACUGAGAUACGGCCCAGACUCCUACGGGAGGCAGCAGUAGGGAAUAUUGCGCAAUGGGGGGAACCCUGACGCAGCAACGCCACGUGUGGGAAGAAGCAUUUCGGUGUGUAAACCACUGUCGGAAAGGAAUAACGGAAGACUUCGGUCUUUAAUGAAUGUACUUUUAGAGGAAGCACCGGCAAACUUCGUGCCAGCAGCCGCGGUAAACUGUCUACG